UGGGGAAUUUUGGACAAUGGGGGCAACCCUGAUCCAGCCAUGCCGCGUGAGUGAAGAAGGCCUUCGGGUUGUAAAGCUCUUUCAGAUGGGAAGAAAACGCUCGGGCUAAUACCCCGAGUGGAUGACGGUACCAUACCAAGAAGCACCGGCUAACUACGUGCCAGCAGCCGCGGUAAUACGUAGGGUGCGAGCGUUAAUCGGAAUUACUGGGCGUAAAGCGUGCGCAGGCGGCUAGAUAAGACAGAUGUGAAAUCCCCGGGCUUAACCUGGGAACUGCGUUUGUGACUGUCUAGCUCGAGUACGGCAGAGGGGGGUGGAAUUCCUGGUGUAGCAGUGAAAUGCGUAGAUAUCAGGAGGAACACCGAUGGCGAAGGCAGCCCCCUGGGCCUGUACUGACGCU
rnacentral:rRNA from 1 species